rnacentral:rRNA from 1 species
UACAGAGGUCCCAAGCGUUGUUCGGAUUCAUUGGGCGUAAAGGGUGCGUAGGCGGCGCGGUAAGUCGGGUGUGAAAUCUCGGGGCUUAACUCCGAAACUGCAUUCGAUACUGCCGUGCUUGAGGACUGGAGAGGAGACUGGAAUUUACGGUGUAGCGGUGAAAUGCGUAGAUAUCGUAAGGAAGACCAGUGGCGAAGGCGGGUCUCUGGACGGUAACUGACGCUGAGGCACGAAGGCCAGGGGAGCAAACGGG